AUAUAAUGAUGUGGGCACCUUCUCAGCAAUUCUUUAUAUCUCUUCCAAGCUUCAUACAAAGAUUCUCCUUCCUGCUGCACAAACUAUGUAAUUUCUUCUCUCAGCUU